GCUGGAGGGGGGCCUCUGCAGGUAAGGUGCAGGAAUAAAGUCUGGGGUGAAGUCACAGGCUGCAAGAGGAGAUACAAGUUCAGGCAGGACAGAGCCAGGGGCCUCCAUCUCUAGAGAUCAAACUACAUUUGGGGGGUUGGCCCCUCUGAAGGCCAGAGCUGGCUUUGUAUGCCUACUGGAGGGUAUGGGAUGAGGGACAAAGGAGCCCAGGACCCAGGAGAAUGUGCCUGUCCUUCUCAGGGCUCCAGCACCAAAGGACUUGGAGUCCACACACGCUUCUCAGGGUUCUUCUGUCAGUUCCUGUCCUGAUUCUUCCCCUCCCUGAGAAGCACAUGCCCAGGGCUGGCUGGUCCCAGAAGAUGAGAGACAUGCAGAGCUGACCUGAACAGAACUUGUGGUCUGAAGCCACACCUAGCUGUACGCAAGCAGCAGGGCCCAGAUCACACAGCUGCCCCAGCAAACCUGCAGGUGCACGUGCGAGGAAGCAUGACUGCUGUUUAUGUGACUGUACUGGGGAAGGUGAGCAGCACCACCACGGCCAACUGACCGACACACAGCUUAAGCGAUGAGCAUCGGCCUCCAGGCAGCAAAGGCAAGAAGAAAUGUGGAGGGACUACAAUGUUCUGAGCAGAAGAGCCAAUUUUGUCUUCCUGGUCUAUCCAACUUGGGUGUGUGUGUGAAACUUUCCACAAUACCAAGUCUCUAAGGUUGAAUCACAUCUGUAUGAAUUCAACAAUUAUUUGCUGAUCCCGCAUGCUGUGUCCAGCUCCUUGCUAAGAACUCAUCAACCAGAUGAAGAGAAUGGAGGCCAGUGACAGAUCAUACACAUGUGGACAAUGACAGAUGAGAUGGACAUUGAUUUUUAUGUGCCUGUUAGAUGUACCGAAGCCUUUCCUGCUGCAAACAUCUCAGAGCUGAGUCCUCGCACUCCACAGGCUGGACCUCAAGCACCAUGAGAGCAGGGCCUUGCUCACUACUGAGCACAGCCUGACCCAGCCUACAUGAAUAUUUGUGGGACAAAGGAGGGCAGCGAAGGGGGCAGCAAUCACUGUAUUCCAUAAGUGAGGCAUGGAGAAAGUCAGUGAUUAUUCCUACUAAAGGAUAACUGUGUGCUGUUAUUUGUAUAUGGAGGUAUGGUCAUUGGUCUCCUGUCAACGGGUCAAUGGCCAAGCUCUUUCCCAUAAAAGUGAUGGGUUUUCUCAAACUGUCCCAUCUGAUUAUGUCAUUUCCUUCAUGAACUUAUGUGACCAGUGCCAUUCCUCUCCCAGGCCUUUGAUCAGGAACAACUACCUACAUGACUAAAUGUUCUCCAUUCAUUUCUCAUUCCCGUAAAAAAAAAAAAAAAAGGAAAAGAAAAAGAAAUCCUCGAGGAUCUACCAAGAGUAAGGCCAGGUCUCCAUUCUCUAGGAGCAUUUGGAGAAAGGAGGCCCAGGAUGGCACCUUUGGAGGGCAGGUAAGAUUGCAGAGGAGGAGGGUUGGAGAAGGAAGGGUCACCAACCCAACAUUAGAGGGAUCCUACCCAUCCCCUUAGCCUCCUUCUUGUCAUUCCACAUCCUAUCUGGGCACACUUAGCAAAGGCCAUUUCAGGGCUCCAUGCAUGCAAAGUGACUUUAAGACAUCUAACCUCCCCAUCCUUCGCCUCUGAAGCCACAUGUGGCUGAACCACGUAAUGGCUGGAGUCCAGCAGGGGUCCAGCAGUGGGGUUGGAGUCCCAGCUUCCUCGUAGUAUGACCAGAACAUGUCCUUUAACUUUCCCACCUGUCUUGGGUGCCCAGCACAUAACAUUCAAUACAUGUGAGCUGCUAUUAAAAACAUGGGUAAUUUUAUAUCUUAAAAUAUUCCAUAUUGCUUAAAUGGUUUCAUGCUGGCUCACAUUAAAAAUGAUUCCCAAGUGAAGAUGACAAAGGGGAAAUAUUCCUUAUUUAGUUCUUUUCUUACA